rnacentral:lncRNA from 10 species
CAGAACCCAAUACAUGUAGCAAUAAUGAUGGUAUUGACAAUAUUAACCUCCACAACAACCUUAAUGACAACAUGAAGGCAGAGAUCUGAUGGGGUGCACUGAAAACAGAAGAAUCUCUUCAUUUUGACCGGAGAUGUCUGUGGCUUACUAGAAAAGGUCAUUGCAGUUUGCCAACCUUACCCCAUGUACUCCUGCUCUCUCAGACCUGACCUUGCCACUCCUCUCAUUCUUGGAACACUGCUAUUACUACAUGAAGAUUCACAUUCCAGCCCAUCUUCCCUCAUCUAGCACAGUCCUGAGAGACCUGGCCCGUCUUGAUCCCUUCCUUUUCUAAUGCGUUCCUGGGAAACCAGGUUAGUUCUGGGACUGCCCUGAUCCAGUAUCUUCCUCAUACCUGAGCAAGUGCAGCCUCUUCCUUCAGCUGUAAUUUUCAUAAAUGCACCAACAAAUGAAUUAAUGAACAAAUGGUAUUUCUGUUACUCGUUGUCUGAUGUUCCACACUGCACAAUGUAGCAUGUAAUCCCUAAAGAUCCACUCUUAUGCCUAACCCUCCUUUGGGACCCAAGGAAAUGCUGCUUCCAGCCUCUUGUCUUGUGUCCUUUGGAACAAAAGGCAGUUGCAUCCAUGAUGGUUUGUGGAUUGCACCACCACCGGAGAUGGACACUGCUUCCGAGGAUUAGAGUGGUAGAAGUGCUUAGGUAAGAGAAAAGACAAGUUACUUGGACAUGUUAACAUGUCAAGUUCUUCCUCUUACUAUUAUUCCUAGUUGUGUGGAAAAUCCGUUUUGUUGCUUCUCUUUGUGUGUCAAUCUGUGGGUCUGAAAGCCUUCAAUUAAGAUAGUAUUUGCAAUAGUUGCACAUGGCAACGGAGUAAUACUUGAAAUAUUAAAGAAUUCAUGUUGUGGUCCAAUAUGGUAACCUUAGCCACGUGUGACUUUUGGGCACCUGAAAUGUGUCCAGCUGAGAAGUGUUAUAAUUGUAAAAUAUACUUUUGUGUGUUUUUCAAUUUUGAAGACAGUAUAAAAAAAUGCAAAAAAUUUUAAUAUAUAGAUUAAAUAAAAUAUAUUAAAAUAAAUACUAACAAUAUGUUAAUGUUUUCUUUUAAAUUUUUCUAAUGUGGAAGAACUUUUAAUGUAAAAAAUUUAGAAGUUGUAUAUGUGGCUUGCACUGUAUCUAUUGGACAAUGCUGAUCUAGCUAUGACAUAUAUAAAAUGUGAUAUUGAUUCUUAUAUUGAAAACUAGAUGAACAUUUAAUGCUAGAAUUGUG